GCAAAAGUGAAAGUAGAGAAGUAGAAAGUUUCCGGUGAGGAAAAAUACUUCAUUCUAGCAGUUUCCAGCUAUCUAAGAUUAGUUUGCAUCGUAAGGGAAUUGUAUAAGUGUCCGAUAACAUGUAACUUGAAAUGGAACUAAUCUUCAAAGAAUAAAACACAACAAUGAGCCACACUUGAUGCUAUGCCUGUCCACUUCCCAAAAGAGAAUACUUGACAUGUGGAUUUCGUUUGAUUCCAGUCAUGGUUGUUAACAGAAGGAUGCAACUGUCCUCAUGCAUCAACAGUUAACUUAAAUUUAAAUGGAAUUAAAGGACAGAAAUUGGUUUGUUUACUCCUAUUAGCAUUAACAGUUUUCAAAAAUAGAGCAGUUGUUAUUUAUAGAAAAUGGACAGUGAAAUAGAUUCAUCCAAUAUUUUCUAUAAUAGCAAAAAUACACGCGUUAUGAUUUUUUUUCUUAGCAGGGGGUAUCAAUUGUGAGCUUGCUCACAGUACCUCUAGUAUUUAUUUAAAUGCUGUUUUAGAAACCAUUUUCCGUAAAAUUUCUUUGAAUUUCUUAAUUGUUUUUAUUAAGAUGUGAAUUGAAUAUAUAUUUUACUUACUCAAUUAUUUUUA